UAUCCAUUCCAAUCUAAUAAGCCGUUCAAUUGGCAUGACUAAUUUUUAAGAUAAACUGUCAACUUUUGUUUGAAAAUCGCCUCGAGUAAAUUUAAAAUAAAAUUAAUCGUUUCAAUUAAAUAAACUUUGAGUAAAGAAAAUACUCAGUAAAACUAGAAUCAAGAAAAAUUAUUGGAAAAUGUGUCUGUUACAAAAUUCUGUUACUGUUUACUGGCACUUAUUCAAUUGUUGAAAAUCGUCAGUUUACACUUGCAUACAUUCAAUCAAAUAAAUUCUUGAAUGAUAAUUGGAGAGUGGACUUGAAUCAACAUUUUUGAUCUUUGAUAUAGAUUAAAUUGCUUAAUUACUUAAUAUUAAACUAAACCACAUUUUCAUAUUCAUUUCAUGUACAAAGGUAUCUACUUUCUACAUAUUCACCGUGCGUCACUAAAUUCAUGAAUUUAUUUUACUAGGCAGAUGAGCACACCACCAACUCAUCCCACCUUUUAAGUAACCCUCACCCAUCGCCAUCCACCUACAAGGACAUGACACAUUGGUGUAACAGAUAUUACGAAUUUUGGCAACAAGACAAAACACAUAUGAAUCGCAUUCACAGCUUUGAAAUACAGGAUCAAAAUUUAAUCUCGAAAUCUGCGCAGAUUUCAAACAAGAACUGGUUUAACUGAAUUAAUCCACCUGCGCUUGGAUUAUCUUCAAAGAAAAAAUGCAAUGUUAGCAAUAAUAAAUAAUCUGAAACUUGUCGUCCCUCCAAA